rnacentral:rRNA from 1 species
GUGAGGAAUAUUGCGCAAUGGACGAAAGUCUGACGCAGCCAUGCCGCGUGAAGGAUUGACGGCCCUAUGGGUUGUAAACUUCUUUUGUAUAGGAAUAAACCCUCGUUCGUGAACGAGGCUGAAGGUACUAUAAGAAUAAGCACCGGCUAACACCGUGCCAGCAGCCGCGGUAAUACGGAGGGUGCAAGCGUUAUCCGGAUUUAUUGGGUUUAAAGGGUCCGUAGGCGGAUCGUUAAGUCAGUGGUGAAAUCCUACCGCUCAACGGUAGAACUGCCAUUGAUACUGGCGAUCUUGAGUAUGUAUGAAGUUGGCGGAAUGUGUGGUGUAGCGGUGAAAUGCUUAGAUAUCACACAGAACACCGAUUGCGAAGGCAGCUGACUAAUACACAACUGACGCUGAGGGACGAAAGUGUGGGGAUCAAACAGGAUUAGAAACCCUUGUAGUCC